AUUCCUACGGGAGGCAGCAGUGGGGAAUCUUGGACAAUGGGCGUAAGCCUGAUCCAGCAAUGCCGCGUGUGCGAUGAAGGCUUUCGGGUUGUAGAGCACUUUUGUCAGGGAAGAAAUGGUUCGGGCCAAUACCUCGAACUUCUGACGGUACCUGAAGAAUAAGCACCGGCUAACUACGUGCCAGCAGCCGCGGUAAUACGUAGGGUGCAAGCGUUAAUCGGAAUUACUGGGCGUAAAGCGUGCGCAGGCGGUUUACAAAGACAGGUGUGAAAUCCCCGGGCUUAACCUGGGAACUGCAUCUGUGACUAGUAGACUAGAGUUUGGCAGAGGGGGGUGGAAUUCCUGGUGUAGCAGUGAAAUGCGUAGAUAUCAGGAGGAACACCGAUGGCGAAGGCAGCCCCCUGGGCCACCACUGACGCUCAUGCACGAAAGCGUGGGGAGCAAACAGGAUUAGAUACCCUGGUAGUCCACGCCCUAAACGAUGUCAACUAGUUGUUGGAUCUUUUCUGAUUUGGUAACGAAGCUAACGCGUGAAGUUGACCGCCUGGGGAGUACGGCCGCAAGGUUAAAACUCAAAGGAAU
rnacentral:rRNA from 1 species